rnacentral:rRNA from 1 species
GUCCACGCCGUAAACGAUGGACACUAGACGUCGGGGGGAGCGACCCUCCCGGUGUCGUCGCUAACGCAGUAAGUGUCCCGCCUGGGGAGUACGGCCGCAAGGCUGAAACUCAAAGGAAUUGACGGGGGCCCGCACAAGCGGUGGAGCAUGUGGUUUAAUUCGAAGCAACGCGAAGAACCUUACCUGGGCUUGACAUGCUGGUGUAAGCCGGUGGAAACAUCGGCCCCUCUUCGGAGCGCCAGCACAGGUGCUGCAUGGCUGUCGU